rnacentral:rRNA from 1 species
UACGUAGGGCGCAAGCGUUGUCCGGAAUUAUUGGGCGUAAAGAGCUCGUAGGCGGCCAGUUGCGUCUGCUGUGAAAUCCCGGGGCUCAACCCCGGGCGUGCAGUGGAUACGGGCUGGCUAGAGGCAGGCAGGGGAGAACGGAAUUCCCGGUGUAGCGGUGAAAUGCGCAGAUAUCGGGAGGAACACCGGUGGCGAAGGCGGGACUCUGGGCCGAUACUGACGCUGAGGAGCGAAAGCGUGGGGAGCGAACAGG